AUUGAACGCUGGCGGCAGGCUUAGCACAUGCAAGUCGAGCGGGGUGAUGGUGCUUGCACUAUCACUUAGCGGCGGACGGGUGAGUAAUGCUUAGGAAUCUGCCUAUUAGUGGGGGACAACAUCUCGAAAGGGAUGCUAAUACCGCAUACGUCCUACGGGAGAAAGCAGGGGAUCACUUGUGACCUUGCGCUAAUAGAUGAGCCUAAGUCGGAUUAGCUAGUUGGUGGGGUAAAGGCCUACCAAGGCGACGAUCUGUAGCGGGUCUGAGAGGAUUAUCCCCCACACUGGGACUUAGACACGGCCCAGACUCCUACGGGAGGCAGCAGUAGGGAAUAUUGGACAAUGGGGGGAACCCUGAUCCAGCCAUGCCGCGUGUGUGAAGAAGGCCUUAUGGUUGUAAAGCACUUUAAGCGAGGAGGAGGCUCUUUUGGUUAAUACCCAAGAUGAGUGGACGUUACUCGCAGAAUAAGCACCGGCUAACUCUGUGCCAGCAGCCGCAGUAA
rnacentral:rRNA from 1 species